rnacentral:lncRNA from 1 species
UUUUAUGGAAUUGGAUUUGGAAUCUAUAGGCCUUUCCUGCCCGCUUCUCAAGACUCUGAAGCUAAACAAUGUGGGUUGCUACUACUUGGAGGACGAGUCUGAUGAUGAUGCUUUGGCAAUUGCUAAAACAAUGCCCGGUCUUCACCACCUCCAGCUUGUUGGGAACAGGGUAACAAACACCGGCUUAAACGCCAUUGUUGAGAAUUGUCCUCACCUCAAAUCCCUUGAUUUACGCGAUUGUGGCUACAUCAACCUUGCCCCCCAAUGAUUUCCAGAAGUUAUGUAAAAGAGUGGUUCAAGGGUUUAGUUGAUUUUACAUUUGCAUUUUGUUGAGCUGGUUACAUUCUUACAAAAUAGUAUGUGAUUCAUGUUUGAUUAUCAAUAAGAAUGCUUUAGAUAAAUCUCAACUUGUUGAAUAGAUCAAAGUUUUACAUUUCCUUUGGACAUAAUGCAAAACAAAACUCUUUGGCACUUAGAGAAUCUCUUUGUCCAACAAACACCUUUAGAGGAGAAAUUCUUAGGUUCACCCCCUAGGGUGAACCUCUAGGUUCACCAACCAAUAGUGUUUGAGUAUUUGAUAUUUGAUAUCUUUUAAAAAAGGAAACAAAAUUGAAUUUCCAAAUAAGAUUAUAUUUUUAAAAUAAAACAAUAAAAAUACAUAAAAAUAGUUACAAAAAAUAAAUAAAUAAAUAUUAUUAAACCUUUAGCAAAAUACUAAAUCCUAUACUCUAAAUCUUAAACUCUAAACCCUAAAUUAUAAACCUUAAAUCUUGGAUAAACCGUUGGAAAAUUUUAAACCCUAAAUCAUACAUUAAAAACUAAAUCUUAAUAACACUAAACCCUAAACCCUAAUCACUAAACCCUAAACCCUUGGAUAAACCCUGAACCCUUGGAUAAACCCUGAACCCUUGGAUAAAUCAUAAACUCUAAAUCAAAAAUAUUUAAAAUUAAACCCUAAAAUACAAUUGAAUAAUGUAUUUCGAAAUUUAUAAUGUAUAUUUCAAUAUAUUUAUUUUAGUGAUGAUUUAUGAAUUAUUACCAUAUUUUAAGAAGUUUAACAAAAAUAUAAAUCAACAUUAAAUGUAAUGUAUUCGUUAUUGUCAUAUUCUAUAAAGUUUACCAAAAAUAUUUGUCAGCAAUAAAUGUGAUUGUCCAUAUCAUAUUAACUAUAAGUCAUGUCAUCAAUUUUGUUAGCCAUGUGAUCAUUUAUUUUGUAAAAAUGAUUAUAGAAAAGACAUGUGGCAAAAUCACUUCGCAAAUAUAGAUUGGGAGAUCUUUUUAGUUUCUAGAAAAUUUGGUCCACAGUCUAUGCACUACAUAAUUUAUAGCAAUACAUAAUAUUUUUUUCCAUGAUCUAGCAGCAGAUGCAGGUUACGCUUUCCAUAGAGGUUAAAUCAAUAACCAAAUUGCUUCAUGAGUACUCCAUAGUUGCAACAACUUCCAAACAAAACAAAAAAAACUUAAGCUCCAUCGUUCUUCCACAUCAUGUGCCAUCUCUGCCAGGGGCGAAUCCAGGCCAUUAAUCUAGUGGGUGCACCAUUAUUGAUAAAAUAGAAAACAAACAGAAGAAGGAAUCGAACCUUGGUUUGAGUGGGUGCUCAACACAACAUUUCCACCUUAUCUAACAGAUUUUAAGUGUUUUUUCACAUGAAAUUUGAAAUAUAACUAAUUUUUAUGGGUGCACAGGCCCCCAUAGUACACAACCUGCCUUCGUCCCUGAUCUCUGCGAAGCUUACAUAAACUUAUCAUUACAUCUUUGCUGAGCGUUUGCAGAGUUAGUAUAUAUGAUCAUCCUGAAUCUGUGUGUUUGAGUAGACUUUUUAUUAACAAGUUAAUUUGUUUAUCAACUUCAGGAUCUCUCUACAUUUCUUUACUUGAUUUUUCAGAUCACAAUUUUCAGAUCACAAUUUGAGACUGACUACUUGUUCUCUCAGUCGCACUAAUGAAAUUCUUCUCAUGACAACUUACAAGUUAUCAUUCUCUACUUCUCAACUCGAUCCAAACUUGAGUAACUAUAACAAGGCACAAAAUACAACCGCAAGGCAAAAAAAACUAUUAAGAAUCAAAUAUUUGGAGACAAGAUAAGGCAGAGAUCAUCAUCAUACAAACAUCUACUGAAUUCGAAAAUAGAACAGAACUAAUAUUGUUUCGGAAAUUUCCAAGUUUCAUUACACGUAAAGAAUAAUCAGAUUUGUAAAUUCUCGAGGAGACGAACAACUUUGGCUUUAGCUUUCUUUGCUUUGGCUUUGUCUUUCUUCGCUUUGAGUUUAGCACCAAACUUGUCGUCCCAAGCUUUGCUCGGUACCAUCCUCUUCAAAAGCCAAGGUCGACUUCUCACGAAGUUUUUAUGCCCAAACUCGAACCAACCGAUUCUCUGAAAACCAUGAUGGCGAAGCUCCGACACAAACUCUGAAAAAUUCCAGCCGAACUCUACAGAUUUGGACAGAAUCUUUGUGCAAAACCGGGCGACAUCCCAAACGAUGAAACUGUUGUUGCUGUUGUUGGUCCACGAGAUGAUUGCAUCCAACGAGUGAUCAUUCACAAUCUCAUACAGCUUCAUGAAGAACGAAUACGGCCCCCUGCUGAUAUGUGAGCCAUCCUUAGAGCAUGAUUAAUCCAAAUACCCAAAUGGGUUUCUAAUUUUUUUUUUUCGUUUGGCCGAUUUAAAAAAAAAACUAAAAAAGAAUCAAUCGCGGGCCGUUACGUGUCAGUGGAGCCCGCACACGGUAAAACAAAUCCAACUACAUACGUCUCUUAUUUGGCUACAUUUGACUCUCUUCUUCCUUGGUUCCCCCAUUUUUGUGGUCCCCCCUCCUAAAAACUCUCCUACAUACCCGGUUAAUGCUGCUUUUAACUCUAAUGGAAAAAAAAAAAAAAAAAGAGAGAUUGUGAAUGAUCACUCGUUGGAUGCAAUCAGAGAUUGUGAUUAAAUCGAGGGAGAUUUCAACGGUCACGAUUAAAUUACAAGGUUUCCUUUUUCUAUCUUCUUCUAUUUCCUUUUAUCCAACUACGUUAAAUAGUCAUGGGGCUAGGCUCAAUAUCCACUCUAAAUAUUGGGUUUGUUUCGUAAAUUUAGUUUAUCAUUAGGAACUUAAUUAUAAAUCAGAGAGUCGCAAUCUUUACUUUACCUUCAGAAACUGAUUCGUCCUCUUCGUCUCCGGUGAGAUGAAAAAAGCAAAACUUAUAAACUGGGCGGAGCUUCCAUCGGAGCUGAUCUAUUCGAUUCUUCACCGUCUUAGCGUGCCUGAUAGACUAGGAAACGCUCGGCACGUGUGCAGAUCGUGGCGACGCGUCUGUCAAGACCCCCUGAUGUGGCGGAAAAUCGAGAUGCGAGACAUGGGAGAAUACAAUGAAGCCAAGGAUUAUUAUCAUGCCGCGGAGGCCAUGUGCCGUCGCGCCGUUGAUCUAAGCCAGGGCGGCUUGCUGGAGAUCAACAUUGAGUACGUCGGCACCGAUUCUCUCCUCGCCUACAUAGCCGACAGGUGAAACGAACCCUAAAAUUCUGAUUCCUGAUUCUAUGUGUUGGUUGCAAAUAAUAGUUUGUGUUUUUAUAUGACUUUGGUAUGGAUACAGGUCAAGCAACCUGAAACAGCUUGUACUUACUGAGUGCAAUGGCAUAACGGAUGUGGGACUUUUGGGAGCAGUCAUGAAGCUCAAAUUGCUUGAACACCUUGAACUUUCUUACUUCUAUUUUAUGGAAUUGGAUUUGGAAUCUAUAGGCCUUUCCUGCCCGCUUCUCAAGACUCUGAAGCUAAACAAUGUGGGUUGCUACUACUUGGAGGACGAGUCUGAUGAUGAUGCUUUGGCAAUUGCUAAAACAAUGCCCGGUCUUCACCACCUCCAGCUUGUUGGGAACAGGUUAACAAACACCGGCUUAAACGCCAUUGUUGAGAAUUGUCCUCACCUCAAAUCCCUUGAUUUACGCGAUUGUGGCUACAUCAACCUUGCCCCCCAAUGAUUUCCAGAAGUUAUGUAAAAGAGUGGUUCAAGGGUUUAGUUGAUUUUACAUUUGCAUUUUGUUGAGCUGGUUACAUUCUUACAAAAUAGUAUGUGAUUCAUGUUUG